UGGCAACCGACUAGUGACCAACUGCAGACGGGAGACCUAGAGAGAAGCCAAACGGAGAGACCGAAGGGAGAAAGCAUUUACAAGAGUCGGCGAUAAAAAAGAGCUUGUAAAUCCACCAAGGGUUCAAGAGAAAGAAUCCAAGGAGCUGAAGAAAAUCUCACUUUAGACCCCUGAGGAACUCGAUUUUAAAGAAA
ncrna:unclassified sequences IMES-1 RNA motif